rnacentral:rRNA from 1 species
GACAGAGGGUGCAAACGUUGUUCGGAAUUACUGGGCGUAAAGCGCAUGUAGGCGGCUAAGUAAGUCGGGCGUGAAAUCCCACGGCUCAACCGUGGAAGUGCACUCGAAACUGCGUAGCUAGAGUCCUGGAGAGGAAGGUGGAAUGCUUGGUGUAGAGGUGAAAUUCGUAGAUAUCAAGCGGAACACCGGUGGCGAAGGCGGCCUUCUGGACAGUGACUGACGCUGAGACGCGAAAGCGUGGGGAGCAAACAGG